rnacentral:rRNA from 1 species
AGCGAACGCUGGCGGCAGGCUUAACACAUGCAAGUCGAGCGGGCAUCCUUGUGGUGUCAGCGGCAGACGGGUGAGUAACGCGUGGGAACGUGCCCUUCGGUUCGUAAUAACUCAGGGAAACUUUAGCUAAUACCGGAUACGCCCUUUUGGGGAAAGGUUUACUGCCGAAGGAUCGGCCCUCGUCUGAUUAGCUGGUUGGUGAGGUUAUGGCUCACCAAGGCGACGAUCAGUAGCUGGUCUGAGAGGAUGAUCAGCCACACUGGGACUGAGACACGGCCCAGACUCCUACGGGAGGCAGCAGUGGGGAAUAUUGGAAAACGGGGGCAACCCUGAUCCAGCCAGGCCGCGUGAGUGAUGACGGCCUGAGGGUUGUAAAGCUCUUUUCUCCGGGACGAUAAUGACGGUACCGGAGGAAUAAGCCCCGGCUAACUUCGUG